CGGCAACAGCUCAAAUUUGAAAUCUGCCCGCAAGGGCCGAGUUGUAAUUUGCAGAGGGCGCUUUGGCAUUGGCAGCGGUCCAAGUUCCUUGGAACAGGACGUCACAGAGGGUGAGAAUCCCGUACGUGGUCGCUAGCCUUUACCGUGUAAAGCCCCUUCGAC
rnacentral:rRNA from 1 species